GUUGUAUAGUUAAGUGACUAAGCGUACAAGGUGGAUGCCUUGGCAAUCAGAGGCGAAGAAGGACGUGCUAAUCUGCGAAAAGCUUGGAUGAGUCGAUAAGAGGCGUUUAAUCCAAGAUAUCCGAAUGGGGAAACCCAGUAGAUGAAGAAUCUACUAUCAACAAGUGAAUUCAUAGCUUGUUGAGGCAAACCGGGAGAACUGAAACAUCUAAGUACCCCGAGGAAAAGAAAUCAACCGAGAUUUCGUCAGUAGCGGCGAGCGAAAGCGAAAGAGCCAGUAAGUGAUAACAGUAUAGUUAGGAGAAUGUGUUGGGAAGCACAAUCAAAGAGGGUGAUAAUCCCGUAUCUAAAAACCAUAUUGUGGUACUAAGCUAACGAGAAGUAGGGCGGGACACGUGAUAUCCUGUUUGAAGAAGGGGGGACCAUCCUCCAAGGCUAAAUACUCCUGAUUGACCGAUAGUGAACCAGUACUGUGAAGGAAAGGCGAAAAGAACCCCGGUGAGGGGAGUGAAAUAGAACCUGAAACCUUGUACGUACAAGCAGUGGGAGCCCGAAAGGGUGACUGCGUACCUUUUGUAUAAUGGGUCAGCGACUUAUAUUUUGUAGCGAGGUUAACCGAAUAGGGGAGCCGAAGGGAAACCGAGUCUUAACUGGGCGAAGAGUUGCAAGGUAUAGACCCGAAACCCGGUGAUCUAGCCAUGGGCAGGUUGAAGGUUGGGUAACACUAACUGGAGGACCGAACCGACUAAUGUUGAAAAAUUAGCGGAUGACUUGUGGCUGGGGGUGAAAGGCCAAUCAAACCGGGAGAUAGCUGGUUCUCCCCGAAAUCUAUUUAGGUAGAGCCUUGAGGUGACACCUUUGGGGGUAGAGCACUGUUUCGGCUAGGGGUCCAUCCCGGAUUACCAACCCGAUGCAAACUACGAAUACCAAAGAGUGAUACUCAGGAGACACACGGCGGGUGCUAACGUCCGUCGUGGAGAGGGAAACAACCCAGACCGCCAGCUAAGGUCCCCAAGUCUAUAUUAAGUGGGAAACGAAGUGGGAAGGCUUAGACAGCUAGGAUGUUGGCUUAGAAGCAGCCAUCAUUUAAAGAAAGCGUAAUAGCUCACUAGUCGAGUCGGCCUGCGCGGAAGAUGUAACGGGGCUAAAAUAUAGCACCGAAGCUGCGGCAUCAGGCGUAUCACUAAUACGCCUUACGAUUAACAAGCUAGAAUGGCGCGAAGCGGCAUGAAAGGUUGUUCAAGCAACCCGAACGUUGAGUCGGGGUAUUUUUGAAGUAAGGAUUAUUAGUGAUACGCCUGUUGGGUAGGGGAGCGUUCUGUAAGCGGAUGAAGGUGAAUCGAGAGGUUUGCUGGACGUAUCAGAAGUGCGAAUGCUGACAUAAGUAACGAUAAAACGGGUGAAAAACCCGUUCGCCGGAAGACCAAGGGUUCCUGUCCAACGUUAAUCGGGGCAGGGUGAGUCGGCCCCUAAGGCGAGGCUGAAAAGCGUAGUCGAUGGGAAACAGGUUAAUAUUCCUGUACUUGGUAAAGCUGCGAUGUGGGGACGGAGUAGGUUAGGUUAUCGCACUGUUGGAUAUGUGCGUUUAAGUUGGUAGGUGGGAAGUUUAGGCAAAUCCGGACUUCUAUUAAACACUGAGAGAUGAUGACGAGGCUCUACGGAGCUGAAGUAACUGAUACCACACUUCCAGGAAAAGCCACUAAGCGACAGGCUUUACUAAACCGUACUGAAAACCGACACAGGUGGUCAGGUAGAGAAUACUCAGGCGCUUGAGAGAACUCGGGUGAAGGAACUAGGCAAAAUAGCACCGUAACUUCGGGAGAAGGUGCGCCGGCGUAGAUUGUAGUCCCUCGCGGGCGAAGGUUGAACCGGUCGAAGAUACCAGCUGGCUGCAACUGUUUAUUAAAAACACAGCACUCUGCAAACACGAAAGUGGAGGUAUAGGGUGUGAUGCCUGCCCGGUGCUGGAAGGUUAAUUGAUGGUGUAAUCGCAAGAGAAGCACCUGAUCGAAGCCCCAGUAAACGGCGGCCGUAACUAUAACGGUCCUAAGGUAGCGAAAUUCCUUGUCGGGUAAGUUCCGACCUGCACGAAUGGCAUAAUGAUGGCCAGGCUGUCUCCACCCGAGACUCAGUGAAAUUGAAAUCGCCGUGAAGAUGCGGUGUACCCGCGGCUAGACGGAAAGACCCCGUGAACCUUUACUAUAGCUUGACACUGAACAUUGAAUUUUGAUGUGUAGGAUAGGUGGGAGACUUAGAAGUAGUCACGCCAGUGAUUAUGGAGUCAUCCUUGAAAUACCACCCUUUAACGUUUGAUGUUCUAACGAAGAUUGCGGAACGCGGUCUCGGACAGUGUCUGGUGGGUAGUUUGACUGGGGCGGUCUCCUCCCAAAGCGUAACGGAGGAGCACGAAGGUUUGCUAAUCACGGUCGGACAUCGUGAGGUUAGUGCAAUGGUAUAAGCAAGCUUAACUGCGAGACAGACAAGUCGAGCAGGUACGAAAGUAGGUCAUAGUGAUCCGGUGGUUCUGAAUGGAAGGGCCAUCGCUCAACGGAUAAAAGGUACUCCGGGGAUAACAGGCUGAUACCGCCCAAGAGUUCAUAUCGACGGCGGUGUUUGGCACCUCGAUGUCGGCUCAUCACAUCCUGGGGCUGAAGUAGGUCCCAAGGGUAUGGCUGUUCGCCAUUUAAAGUGGUACGCGAGCUGGGUUUAGAACGUCGUGAGACAGUUCGGUCCCUAUCUGCCGUGGGCGUAGGAGAAUUGGUUGGGGCUGCUCCUAGUACGAGAGGACCGGAGUGGACGCACCACUGGUGUUCCGGUUGUGUCGCCAGACGCAUUGCCGGGUAGCUAAGUGCGGAAGAGAUAAGUGCUGAAAGCAUCUAAGCACGAAACUUGCCAAGAGAUGAGUUCUCCCUGUCUUUAAGACAGUAAGGGUUGUUUAAGACGAAGACGUAGAUAGGUCUGGUGUGUAAGUGAUGUGAGUCAUUGAGCUAACAGAUACUAAUUGCCCGAGAGGCUUAACUAUACAACGCUCAAG
rnacentral:rRNA from 1 species